rnacentral:rRNA from 1 species
UGGGCAACCUGCCCUCAGCUCUGGGAUAACCCCGGGAAACCGGGGCUAAUACCGGAUACGACCUCCGCGGGCAUCUGCGGAGGUGGAAAGGUUUUUCCGGCUGAGGAUGGGCCCGCGGCCUAUCAGCUAGUUGGUGGGGUGAUGGCCCACCAAGGCGACGACGGGUAGCCGGCCUGAGAGGGUGACCGGCCACACUGGGACUGAGACACGGCCCAGACUCCUACGGGAGGCA